GAUGAACGCUGGCGGCGUGCCUAAUACAUGCAAGUCGAGCGAACAGACGAGGAGCUUGCUCCUCUGACGUUAGCGGCGGACGGGUGAGUAACACGUGGAUAACCUACCUAUAAGACUGGGAUAACUUCGGGAAACCGGAGCUAAUACCGGAUAAUAUAUUGAACCGCAUGGUUCAAUAGUGAAAGACGGUUUUGCUGUCACUUAUAGAUGGAUCCGCGCCGCAUUAGCUAGUUGGUAAGGUAACGGCUUACCAAGGCAACGAUGCGUAGCCGACCCGAGAAGGUGAUCGGCCACACUGGAACUGAGACACGGUCCAGACUCCUACGGGAGGCAGCAGUAGGGAAUCUUCCGCAAUGGGCGAAAGCCUGACGGAGCAACGCCGCGUGAGUGAUGAAGGUCUUCGGAUCGUAAAACUCUGUUAUUAGGGAAGAACAAAUGUGUAAGUAACUAUGCACGUCUUGACGGUACCUAAUCAGAAAGCCACGGCUAACUACGU
rnacentral:rRNA from 1 species